AAUGUGAUUCCUCUUUUUCCCAGUGCUGGAAUAUAGAAAAUGGAUGGACAAGUAAGUCCCACUCAGCACCCAUAGCCCAGACAUAGGGACCUCAACACACCUGGGUCCCAGACAUCACUUUUCAUUCUGAAUCUACCAUGAAAGACUUCAGAAUCCAGGAAGAGAGACUGACUGGGCAACAUCUUAUU
rnacentral:lncRNA from 1 species